GCAGUCGAGCGGGGAGAUGUAGCUUGCUACAUGACCUAGCGGCGGACGGGUGAGUAAUGCUUAGGAAUCUGCCUAUUAGUGGGGGACAACAUUCCGAAAGGAAUGCUAAUACCGCAUACGCCCUACGGGGGAAAGCAGGGGAUCUUCGGACCUUGCGCUAAUAGAUGAGCCUAAGUCAGAUUAGCUAGUUGGUGGGGUAAAGGCCUACCAAGGCGACGAUCUGUAGCGGGUCUGAGAGGAUGAUCCGCCACACUGGGACUGAGACACGGCCCAGACUCCUACGGGAGGCAGCAGUGGGGAAUAUUGGACAAUGGGCGAAAGCCUGAUCCAGCCAUGCCGCGUGUGUGAAGAAGGCCUUUUGGUUGUAAAGCACUUUAAGCGAGGAGGAGGCUACUUAGAUUAAUACUCUAGGAUAGUGGACGUUACUCGCAGAAUAAGCACCGGCUAACUCUGUGCCAGCAGCCGCGGUAAUACAGAGGGUGCGAGCGUUAAUCGGAUUUACUGGGCGUAAAGCGUGCGUAGGCGGCUUCUUAAGUCGGAUGUGAAAUCCCUGAGCUUAACUUAGGAAUUGCAUUCGAUACUGGGAAGCUAGAGUAUGGGAGAGGAUGGUAGAAUUCCAGGUGUAGCGGUGAAAUGCGUAGAGAUCUGGAGGAAUACCGAUGGCGAAGGCAGCCAUCUGGCCUAAUACUGACGCUGCAGUACGAAAGCAUGGGGAGCAAACAGGAUUAGAUACCCUGGUAGUCCAUGCCGU
rnacentral:rRNA from 1 species